rnacentral:rRNA from 1 species
AUGUCAGGCGGCGGCUGGCGGCCGUGGGCGGAGCGGUACAAGCCGUGCGUGGCCAUGGUGCUGGUGCAGCUCUUCUACUCGCUGGUGGACAUGGCGCUCAAGACGGCCUACGGGCUCGGCAUGCGCCCCAUCGUCUUCGUCGCCUACCGCCAGGGCAUCGCCGCCGCCGCGCUCCUCCUCGCCUCGCUCGCCACCAGGGGGCUCACGCUGCGCCCCAUGGCCGUCGGCUCCCGGGCCUUCGCCCUCCUCUUCCUCGCCUCCCUCGCCAGCGCGACGGGGCAGUACUUCUACUUCAUGGGGCUGCAGCUGGCGUCGCCGUCCAUGGCUCGGGCGACCACCAACCUCGCCCCCGGCAUCACCUUCGCCAUCGCCGCCGUCAUCGGGUUGGAGAAGGUGGACUUGAGGAGCUCAAGAAGCAUCGCCAAGAUCGUCGGAACCGUCGUCUGCCUCGCCGGAGCAAUGCUCAUGGCGUUCUUCAAGGGCCCAAAGCUUCUCGGCGCCCUCCUCCUGCCGGCGACCGAUGACUGGGUGAGAGGCGGCAUCUACCUCAUGGGGAACGCCUUCUGUUUCUCCAUCUGGUACAUCUUGCAGGUACCGGUCUGUAAAUCCUACCUUGAUCCACUAUCCUUGGCAACCUGGAUGUGCUUCCUAGCGACCUUGCAAUGCGCGGUGAUGGCCUUCUUCCUAGAAGCAAACUACAUUGAGAUCUGGAAGCUUGCUUCUAUUUGGGAGCUCCCCUGCAUCUUAUACGGAGGCGUUUUCGCAUCGGGUGCAAACUUUUUUAUGCAAUCUUGGUGCAUAUCAGUGAAAGGCCCACUUUACAGCGCAAUUUUUACACCGCUGAGCGCGGUCAUCACAACAAUAUUGUCUACGCUCUUCCUUCACGAGGAACUGCACAUUGGGAGCGUGUUGGGUGCUAUUGUGAUCAUCCUAGGCCUGUAUGUUGUGCUGUGGGGUAAAGCUGAUGACGCAAGCAGCGAGGGGCUGGCCAUCCACUCUAAUGAUUCUGAAAGCAUUUUAGAGCAAGAUUGUAUGGGUGUAAAAGUAGAAAGUGGGAUCAAUCUUUCAGAACCAUUGUUAUCAUCUGAAAACGCGGACGCUGAUGCUUCGAGACGCCAGUGA